UAUGUUUUAAAAAGAUAUGAAUAUGGUCAUAUUCUGCAUGCAACGACCCAACCCCUGAUGCCUAUAUGGAAUUAUGAAUCAUCACAUGUAAAAUAGAAGCUCACAAAAAUUUCUAUGUAUAUUACAGGAUCCCGCAAAAAAAGAAUCCACCAUCUCACCACCAUCACCAAAAUCACCAAGCCUGGGGGGAGGAGUCCUCACAGACACCUACUCAGGCAAAGAAAACGGAACAAAAAAAUCGCUCACUCUUCCCCUCGGCCACCCAGCCUGUGUGGACUCCAAAUAUGAAGAUGGAGGGUGCCACAGGCAUACACACACUCUUCAUUUACUGCAUGGCAACCGACAUCGACACACACAGGAAAUUAGCACCGUCGGCUAACGGCUCUAUAACAUCCCUUCAUCCUUGUAUGAUCCAUCUCGAUCUACUCAUCUUCUCUAGUUCGCCUCCUCACUUGUGUCACACCUCUCAUGCCCCCCGCCCGGAGCCUCCCAGCGAUGCGUCGUGAUGGCUCAUGCUGCCACCGCCGGCUCAUGCGGCCUCCCUUGACGUCCUCCUCCUCCUUCUUCAGUCAAGGGACUCGUCACACCAAUAUUGGAACUCAUUUCCUGAUUUCAUCAAAAGGUUAGGUAAGACAAAUAUCUGCUAGGCGAUCGACACAGGGAGGAAAGACCAAAAGGAAAAAAUCGAAGUAUUCAGUUCAACCAUCAAUUUGCAAAAUCACUAUGCCAGUAAUAAGUCUAUUUUUACAAAAAAAUAUUUCUAUUACUCAAUGAUUGUUACAUCAUUAACUAAUAAAGGUACAUGCUAUUUAGGUGGAUUAUCCAACAAAAUUCAAGGAGAAGUAAAUUUGGUUUCCCUAGCAAGCUCAUGGGCCGCAAGAUUUGCUUCCCAAGAGAAAUGUUCAACCUUCAAAAAAAAUCUUGAACAACUCUGUGUGCAUAUGGUAGCAGUCCUCACGAAUCAAGUUAGUACCUUGCAUGAAGUCACUCUUCUUCGUCCAAAAAGUCAUUGUCUUGACUGCUACUAUCUGUGUUGGCCACAGCAUCGGUUUGAAC
rnacentral:lncRNA from 1 species